AUGGAACACGUUGAGAAUCCUAUUGAGGGUGACAAUGAAACUCCUGUAAGGAGUAAGAGACAGAGGAUUGCAAUGUCCUUUGGUGAUGAUUUCAUUGUGUACCUUGUGGAUGACACGCAUAGGACUAUUUCAGAAGCCUAUGCAUCUUCUGAUGCUGACUACUGGAAGGAAGCUGUUCGUAGCGAGAUGGAUACCAUCUUAGCUAAUGGGACCUGGGAGAUCACUGACCGUCCUUAUGGGUGCAAACCUGUAGGAUGUAAGUGGGUGUUCAAGAAGAAGCUUAGACCUGAUGGUACGAUUGAAAAGUACAAGGCACGGCUUGUGGCUAAGGGUUAUACCCAGAAAGAAGGUGAAGACUACUUUGAUACUUACUCACCCGUGGCUAGACUGACCACAAUUCGGUUGCUACUAUCACUAGCUGCCUCAGAUGGUCUUCUCGUUCAUCAAAUGGACGUUAAGACGGCUUUCCUCAAUGGAGAGUUGAAGGAGGAAAUUUACAUGGAUCAGCCAGAUGGUUUUGUAGUACCUGGUCAGGAAGGAAAGGUGUGCAAGUUGUUAAAGUCUUUAUAUGGCCUUAAACAAGCUCCUAAGGAGUGGCAUGAGAAGUUCGAAAGAACAUUAACUGCUGUCGGCUUUGUAGUAAAUGAUGGUGACAAGUGUGUGUACUAUCGCCAUAGUGGGGGCGAAGGAGUUAUUCUUUGUCUGUAUGUCGACGACAUAUUGAUCUUUGGAACCAAACUUGAUUUAAUCAAGGAGGUUAAGGAUUUCUUAUCUUGUUGUUUUGAGAUGAAGGAUCUAGGAGUAGCUGAUGUUAUCUUAAACAUCAAGCUGUCGAGAGAUGAGAAUGGUGGGAUCACACUGCUUCAGUCUCACUAUGUGGAAAAGGUCUUGAGUCGUUUUUGGUAUAGCGACUGCACGCCUUCUCCAACUCCAUAUGAUGCUAGUGUUGCCACGAGGCCUGACAUCUCUUUUGCUGUGAGCAAGCUGAGUCGGUUUGUGUCAAAACCGGGAGAUGAUCAUUGGUGUGCGCUUGAGAGAGUUAUGCGCUACUUGAAGGGCACUGCGAGCUAUGGGAUUCACUACACUGGGUAUCCAAGGGUACUGGAGGGUUAUAGUGACUCAAACUGGAUAUCUGAUGCUGAUGAGAUUAACGCCACAAGUGGUUAUGUUUUUACACUUGGUGGUGACACUGCCACUGUUGAAGCAGAGUGGCUUCGUGAGCUAUUGAUGGACUUACCUAUGGUUGAAAAACCAAUACCCCCUAUCCCGAUGAACUGUGAUAAUCAAACUGUGAUCGUCAAGAUAAACAGUUCUAAGGACAAUAUGAAGUCCUCAAGGCAUGUGAAGAGGAGAUUAAAAUCUGUCAGGAAACUAAGAAACUCCGGAGUUAUUACGUUGGAUUAUAUUUAA
rnacentral:rRNA from 1 species